rnacentral:rRNA from 1 species
CCUACGGGGGGCUGCAGUGGGGAAUAUUGGGCAAUGGGCGCAAGCCUGACCCAGCAACGCCGCGGGAAGGAAGAAGGCUUUCGGGUUGUAAACGUCUUUUCUGAGGGACGAAGAAAGUGACGGUACCUCAGGAAUAAGCCACGGCUAACUACGUGCCAGCAGCCGCGGGAAUACGUAGGGGGCAAGCGUUAUCCGGAUUUAUGGGGUGUAAAGGGCGUGUAGGCGGGAAAGCAAGUCAGAUGGGAAAACUCAGGGCUCAACCCUGAGCCUGCAUUUGAAACGGUUUUUCUUGCGUGCUGGGGCGGCAAUCGGAUUUCCGUUUGUAGCGGUGCACUGCGUAGAUAUCCGGAGGAACCCCAGUGGCGCCGGCGGAUUGCUGGACCGUACCUGACGCUGAGGCGCGACAGCGUGGGGAGCACACCGGAUUAGAUCCCCGAGUAGUC